CGGAAGCUUAACGUCACCGAUGGAAUCCCCGGCCCCCUCCGGCUUGUUGUUGUUGCACGUGCUGCAGUACCUUUUUAAAAAGGGGAGCGAGUAAUGCAUGCGGUUGACGCGCUACCUUCGCACGAAAACUAUCUUUCCGGAUUGCAUUUGUCUCAACGGAAGGCGGAAAGACGAAAGAGUGAAGCUAUGCCUCAAAAUCCUUAACAACCAAAACGGAAUGCGAUAAAUGGGCUAAUUUGUUCGCAUGGAAACACUACACUUUGCAGUCUUGGAAUGCCGGCACGGGAAUGUAAUAACGCGCUUGUUUCUGGCUGAUGGCUCCAGCAAGGAAAGACGGUUAACAUUAUGCAUAUUUUCCGUGGAAAAGAAAAGUUGAUACCUCAGAAUUAUAGCUACUUUCAAUUGCUUGCACGGUUUCGAAGUAAUUCUUUUCAGUUUUUAGUUGGUCUUUAAGCGCGAUG